UACAGAGGUCUCAAGCGUUGUUCGGAUUCAUUGGGCGUAAAGGGUGCGUAGGCGGCGCGGUAAGUCGGGUGUGAAAUCUUGGAGCUUAACUCCGAAACUGCAUUCGAUACUGCCGUGCUUGAGGACUGGAGAGGAGACUGGAAUUUACGGUGUAGCGGUGAAAUGCGUAGAUAUCGGGAGGAACACCAGUGGCGAAGGCGGCACUCUGGGCCGGAACUGACGCUGAGGAGCGAAAGCGUGGGGAGCGAACAGG
rnacentral:rRNA from 1 species